rnacentral:rRNA from 1 species
ACGUAGGCACCAAGCGUUGUCCGGAUUUAUUGGGCGUAAAGAGCUUGUAGGCGGUUCGGUAAGUCGGGUGUGAAACCUCUGGGCUCAACUCAGAGACGCCACCCGAUACUGCUGUGACUAGAGUGCGGUAGGGGAGCGGGGAAUUCCUGGUGUAGCGGUGAAAUGCGCAGAUAUCAGGAGGAACACCAGUGGCGACGGCGCCGCUCUGGGCCGUAACUGACGCUGAGAAGCGAAAGCGUGGGGAGCAAACAGGA